AGAGUUUGAUCAUGGCUCAGGAUGAACGCUGGCGGCGUGCUUAACACAUGCAAGUCGAACGAACCUUCGGGUUAGUGGCGGACGGGUGAGUAACGCGUGAGAAUCUGCCCUCAGGAGGGGGAUAACAGUUGGAAACGACUGCUAAUACCCCAUAUGCCGAGAGGUAAAAUGAAUUUUGCCUGGGGAUGAGCUCGCGUCUGAUUAGCUUGUUGGUGGGGUAAAGGCCUACCAAGGCUUCGAUCAGUAGCUGGUCUGAGAGGACGAUCAGCCACACUGGGACUGAGACACGGCCCAGACUCCUACGGGAGGCAGCAGUGGGGAAUUUUCCGCAAUGGGCGCAAGCCUGACGGAGCAACGCCGCGUGAGGGAUGGAGGCCUUUGGGCUGUAAACCUCUUUUCUCAAGGAAGAAGAUCUGACGGUACUUGAGGAAUAAGCCACGGCUAAUUCCGUGCCAGCAGCCGCGGUAAUACGGGAGUGGCAAGCGUUAUCCGGAAUUAUUGGGCGUAAAGCGUCCGCAGGCGGCCGUUUAAGUCUGUUGUUAAAUCGUGGAGCUCAACUCCAUCACGGCAAUGGAAACUGUUCGGCUUGAGUAUGGUAGGGGCAGAGGGAAUUUCCGGUGUAGCGGUGAAAUGCGUAGAUAUCGGGAAGAACACCAGUGGCAAAAGCGCUCUGCUGGGCCAUUACUGACG
rnacentral:rRNA from 1 species